rnacentral:rRNA from 1 species
UACGGAGGGUGCAAGCGUUGUCCGGAUUUAUUGGGUUUAAAGGGUGCGUAGGCGGCCGUUUAAGUCCUGGGUGAAAGCCCACUGCUCAACAGUGGAACUGCCCUGGAAACUGGACGGCUUGAGUACAGACGAGGGCGGCGGAAUGGAUGGUGUAGCGGUGAAAUGCAUAGAUACCAUCCAGAACCCCGAUUGCGAAGGCAGCUGCCUAGACUGUAACUGACGCUGAGGCACGAAAGCGUGGGGAGCGAACAGG